rnacentral:rRNA from 1 species
GACGAACGCUGGCGGCGUGCUUAACACAUGCAAGUCGAACGGAAAGGCCCUGCGUGUUACGCGUGCGCCAGACGCGUACGUGACACUAGCAUAACCUUAACCAGCCUUUGACUUAGGCCUCGCUACCGGAGGCUGGUACCAAUACCGGCAAGGAGUCCCUGCUGCUCGGUGUGGGUUGUUAAGUUUCGUCGGUUGGGGUUGGACUCGGGGCUCUUCUGCUUGUUGUGGGGGCAUUGGCUACCAAGGCGUUGACGGGUAGCCGGCCUGAGAGGGCGACCGGCCACACUGGGACUGAGAUACGGCCCAGACUCCUACGGGAGGCAGCAGUGGGGAAUAUUGCACAAUGGGCGGAAGCCUGAUGCAGCGACGCCGCGUGCGGGAUGACGGCCUUCGGGUUGUAAACCUCUUUCGGCAGGGACGAAGCGUAAGUGACGGUAACGGGAGAAGAAGCGCCGGCUAACUACGUG